UUUGAUCAUGAAUUCUAUCAUUUUGGCUGCAUGUGUAUACAAACGCCAUGUAACUAGAGUGAUAUUCUUUGUGAUUUUA